AUCUCCACCAUGUUAUUUUCUCUGCGCUUUACUGUAUCUCUUUGAAUACCCCUUUGGUUCAGUACAAGAGGAAAAGGGCAAAAAAAGGAAAGGAAAAUAAGCAAAGAAAAGACUGUUUUAACUAUGAAACGAUUGCCUAGUGCUUCUGAUGAGGGGCUUGCUUAUGUCUCCGGUGAAGAUUCUCUAGUAGUUGGCGAGUCUCAUGCCGCCCUGCAGCGCUACAGUGCAUAUAAGAUUUUCUCAUUUGCUUUGUAGAUGUUUCUAGUUCUUUCAUUUCAUCCAAAACAAUCUGCCUGUUUCUGCAUUCUAUGCUACAAAAGCCUUGAUCACCCCUAUACAUGUAGAUGUCUUUGUCUAGGCUCAAGUUCUUAUUGCAUAAGAAACAAGAUUUGAGGUAGCAAGAUUCGAUGGUGGUGGCAGAAACAUCUGGAAGGCGUUUCACUUUUUUCAUUGCAGAUUUUAAAACAACAUUGGUUUUGGAUUUUGCUUCUGAUGAUGAUAUCUGGACAAGGGUUUGCAACCCAACAGCCAUUAAUCCCUUGUUUAAAGUUGCACAAGUUGAUUUGGAAUCCUGAGAGAAACCUCCAAGCAUUUCAAAGGGAUUCUUGAAUUUUGUCAGCAUGGCUAACUAAACAGAGGAAAGAAGCAGAAGAGAAGAGAGAAGAAAAUGAGUGAAUACUUG
rnacentral:misc_RNA from 1 species